GGUUCUGUGUGGGGUUUGUUUGGUACCUUGUGUGACAGUUUUGCUUAUCAAGACUCUGGAGAGGUCGGUAGGGCAACAGAUGGUGAUGAGGUAUGGACUGAUUUCGAGCGCUGGUCUGUGUGAUGACGAGUUCGAUCUUCAAGGGCCAGCAGAGGAUUCCGUUUCUUUCAGCUAUGAGGAGCCAGUGUUGGAUGAGACUGUUAUUUUUGAGGGAUGAGACCGUAUUGUUAUGAAGCUUGUAAUACAAAUCCUAAUGGAAGUGUUACAAUUGGAUUUAGACCGAUAACAGUCAUGAAUGAAUAUCUGAUGUACAUACAUUAUAUUCCCUUGUAUUAAUUUAGAUUAUUUGUUAUGUUUCCUUGUAGGAUAUUAGUUUCAGGAUGUAUCAUCUAGUCAUUUAAGGGUGGAUUGAUAAGGAAAUGUGUUUUAAUAAAUGACUGGAAUGUUACAGUCCUGAAACCAUAGGUCUGAUACCAUGUGACUGUAUGAAACCAUAGGUCUGAUACCAUAGGUCUGAUACCAUGUGACUAUAUGAAACCAUAGGUCUGAUACCAUGUGAUUAUAUGAAACCAUAGGUCUGAUACCAUAGGUCUGAUACCAUGUGACUGUAUGAAACCAUAGGUCUGAUACCAUAGGUCUGAUACCAUGUGACUGUAUGAAACCAUAGGUCUGAUACCAUGUGAUUAUAUGAAACCAUAG
ensembl:lncRNA